rnacentral:tRNA from 1 species
GCUUUCUUGGUGUAGUGGUCAGCACGCUCGGCGCGUGUUCGAGAGUUCCGUGGUUCGAUUCCUGGCGAAGGCA